rnacentral:rRNA from 1 species
UGGGGAAUAUUGCACAAUGGGCGCAAGCCUGAUGCAGCCAUGCCGCGUGUGUGAAGAAGGCCUUCGGGUUGUAAAGCACUUUCAGCGAGGAGGAAGGUGGUGGACUUAAUACGUUCAUCAAUUGACGUUACUCGCAGAAGAAGCACCGGCUAACUCCGUGCCAGCAGCCGCGGUAAUACGGAGGGUGCAAGCGUUAAUCGGAAUUACUGGGCGUAAAGCGCACGCAGGCGGUUUGUUAAGUCAGAUGUGAAAUCCCCGGGCUCAACCUGGGAACUGCAUUUGAAACUGGCAAGCUAGAGUCUCGUAGAGGGGGGUAGAAUUCCAGGUGUAGCGGUGAAAUGCGUAGAGAUCUGGAGGAAUACCGGUGGCGAAGGCGGCCCCCCUGGACGAAGACUGACGCUCAGGUGCGAAAGCGUGGGGAGCAAAACAGGAUUAGAUACCCUGGUAGUCCACGCUGUAAAACGAUGUCGAUUUGGAGGUUGUGCCCUUGAGGCGUGGCUUCCGGAGCUAACGCGUUAAAUCGACCGCCUGGGGAGUACGGCCGCAAGGUUAAAAACU